UGCCAUUUUGGAAAACAACUGCAUACACCUUUCACAGAGGUUUCAGCAUGAGAUCACUGCGGUCACAGCUGAUGCUGAUCAACACUUUCCCCAAACUCCCCAAAUUCUAGGAGAGCCCUUGUAAGGAGAAAGUGAAGAAAGCUCCGCCCAGUGCUCGGGGCUGCUGUACACCUGCAGGGCUGCGAGGCUGCAGGAGAGCAGAGACGGGAGUGGUGACGGUGCUGAGGACAGAGACAAAUCUGCAAGGUGGGAGUAAAAUAAUCCCCUGGCUGCUCCUGUCACAGAGUCAUUGUGAGGACCCUUGAGGGAGACGUGAAAGCACUUGAGAGUUUGAGGAAGAAAGAAGGGUCCAUGGUAUCCCUGGUUCGUGCUGGUCUCAGCCUGUGGACAGUAAGUCUUCCAUCCAGAAACACCUGCAGGGCUUGCCUGGGCCUGGGGGGCUUCUUACUACAUCUCCCCUUUCCACCCAAUGUUACCACUGGAUCGAACUUUUGGUUCUUACUAUGAUUUUGGAUGCCCUUCAGCAGCAACCAUGGAGAAAGUCGGCAAAAGAGAGGUUUCUUCCUCACCAGACCUGGAGAUGACACAGCACACCUGGGGCCACACAGAGAUCAGGCAGAGGGAGGCCUCGGCCAGGG